AACGAACGCUGGCGGCAGGCUUAACACAUGCAAGUCGAACGCCCCGCAAGGGGAGUGGCAGACGGGUGAGUAACGCGUGGGAACAUACCCUUUUCUACGGAAUAGCCCUGGGAAACUGGAAUUAAUACCGUAUACGCCCUACGGGGGAAAGAUUUAUCGGGGAAGGAUUGGCCAGCGUUGGAUUAGCUAGUUGGUGGGGUAAAGGCCUACCAAGGCGACGAUCCAUAGCUGGUCUGAGAGGAUGAUCAGCCACAUUGUGACUGAGACACGGCCCAAACGACUACUGGAGGCAGCAGUGGGGAAUAUUGGACAAUGAGCGCAAGCCUGAUCCAGCCAUGCCGCGUGAGUGAUGAAGGCCUUAGGGUUGUAAAGCUCUUUCACCGAUGAAGAUAAUGACGGUAGUCGGAGAAGAAGCCCCGGCUAACUUCGUGCCAGCCGCCGCGGUAA
rnacentral:rRNA from 1 species